ACUCUGUGCACACAUGUUUGUAUUUGACAUACAUUUUCAUGUUUGUAGUUCAUAUACAAUGCAAGCUAUUUGCUUCUUUUUGGUUUAUACCUCAUAGAGUACAUCUCCACUAUUUUGAUUGUGUUUUAUAUAUUUUGGGGUCUACACACCUAAUUCAUAUUUAACUGUGAUUUAAUUGAUUUUUUGAGUGUUGCAUUGACCUUCCUACCUUUACGCAUGUAUUUAUAUUAAACAACUCUGGAUUAAAGUAUCUGGUAGAUAAAUGUAAAGUGAAAUGCUAUCUCUGUUUAUUUGCAGCAGUAGAUAGGACAGCGCUUGUAUGGAUGGUUGUUGGAAUCACAGUGGCUUUUGCACUGUUUGCUAUCAUGGUGUGCACAAGCAGGAAGAAGAGCACCAACAGAGAGAGAGGGAGGAGCAGACGCUCUCGUACUAGCAGAGCCUUCAGAGAGACAAAUGCAGCCAGCGACACAAACUCUGUGCUUCAGAGAGCUGACGAGGCCUCAGUGUGGGAUUAAAACACACAGAGGAGAGAAUCUGCAGAGAAUGAGAAAUGGUGGAGAUCAGGGUGAAAGAGUCUCUUUUUGUCUUUAACUUUACAGAACUGCUGUCUGUUUCUGCUAGAUUAUCCAUUUUAUAAAGAGCUGUUGGUGGAGGAUUUUUCCCAGAGUACUGUAACCCUCUAACCAACAUGCAUGUUCAUGUAACCCUGCUGCAACAUGCAUGUUCAUGUAACCCUGCUGCAACAUGCAUGUUCAUGUAACCCUGCUGCAUACAUGCUCCUGUGACACCGUUACACGUUUAUAUAACCCUGUUACACACACGCACAUAACUCAUGUACAUGCACAUGUAUUCUCUCACAUUGAAUGGGAAGAUUAUAAUGCAGAUUAAUGUAGAUUAUAUUCUCCGAAGUCACUUUUAAAGGCAAGGUCCAAAAUACCUUAAAAGUGUUUUAGUUUGACAUUUUACAUCGCCUUGUUGUAUUGACCCCAUUUGUAUUUUCUGUCUGUUUAGCUAUUUGAAAUAAUGCAUUUUAAUUUGUUUUAUUUGCGUACAUUGUUUUAUUAUGUGUAUCAAUAUAUUAUUAUUUAUUUGUAAAGCACUGUGAACCUUGAACCUCUAUUUUGAUAAAGAUUAUAAUUAUUUUCUUUAUAUGGCCAUCAUGUUUUGCCUGCCAUCCCCCCCCCCCCCUCCAAAAACAAAAUAAUAAUAAUAAUAUUAUA